UGAUAGACUGGUUCCCUGCAUGAAAGCUCCUGUUUGUCGCUGACUGUGUUUUUUUUUGCCUCCAUUUAUGUGUUCACUAUAAUGUGUUGGAUAAAUGUUCAUGUGUAUUUAAAGUCAUUCAUGAAAAAAAUGUGGGGGAAAUACAAUGUUGUUGUUUUUUCAGGCUAAACAACCAAAUAUUUCAUGACACCCUUGCAGUACCUAACCCAGACUACCUGUUGACGACCUCUGCUCUAACUCCUCACCUGUUUCCAUUCAAGUUUUUCAUCAUCCACCAGAACUCUCAUCAGCUCAGGAAUAGCCAAAGCCGGGCAGUUUGCUGAAAUCCGUGCGAACAACCUCCCUGCAGCCAAACUUGGAGACCUUGAAACGGCGGAUGAUGUCUUGCAGGGUAGCAGAAACCACAAAGUAUUCCUGCUUCAGACGCAGCUCCUUGCCCUCAAAAAACUGAAAAAGGAGAUCGCAAGAGACACCGUGAAGUGGAGGUGCCGGUUGAAGUUCAGCUUCAGCUCGGCAACAUUAUCAACCCCAGCCAGGCCUCGCACCGAGAUCUGUUUCUUCCUGUCAUGGUCGGACAAGGGCUUGGACAUGGCGCUUCAGGGUUUAGCAGCUGAAAAGUAAAAACACGGUAAACGUUUCCAGUGGGGAAGACACGCUGUUGAUGAGGACGUCUGGCAGCUACAGUGGCUAACUCCUUUUCCCUCGCAUCGUUGGCAGGGAUGUCUCAGGUAGCAGAUGGUAUAUUAAAUCUUCAACCGAUGUAUUUUGUUUUUGCAGAAGCAAAGUACUGCAAAAGCCUGCCAAUUACCAUAAGGUCGGGCAACGCUAUAUUUGCAAGAUGCCGCACGGCGUCGGAGCUAUCUGCAUUGCAGACAAACAUUGCAGUCUCGGUUAUGACCCAGCAUGUGUUACAUUGUCUCACCGGUGUCGCAGCAGUACUGUAACAAGUCCUUGCGAAGCACUGAUUCAGGGUUUGUGUGUGUGUGUGUGCGUGUGCGUGUGUAUUGAUCACAUUUAUUCAACAGCUCGCAGCCAUAUCAGACUCAUCUAGCCAUAUCAGACUCAUCUGCAACAGAGCCACUAAAGCCCACUCUAUUUUGAGUUAUUGCACUCGCAAGCCAAACUAUCGUAAUGUCUUGACCUUCCAUAAAUAGUAACUUUGACCCAAUCCCAAAGGCCAUGAUAUUUGAAAGGCAUAUCUUGUUAAUGUCAGCAAGAGCCGGCAGAAAACACUAGUGUAUUUCAAGCACUUGUGUCGGAAGACGCUGUUGUCAGCGAGCUGCAAGACGGGUCCUGCUUGUGGAGUGAAAUUGGUCCAGGCUGUUAUUUUACUGUCAACAUGCACUGGAUUUCAUCGCGCUUUCAUUACGAGUUGACAGUUAAAGUAAAGGGGUAGAAAUUAACACGUCUUUCAAAUCAUUUGCGCACUGGACACGUUGCAUGAAGAAGUGUCUGACAAACAGGGACGCUGUUGCCAAACAACCCCCCUCCACCCACACAACACAUAAAUUCAAUUGCAAAUGUUUUCUAAUGGCAAAUGCUGUCAAGUUAUUUCAUGCGGUUUAAUAAUUCCAUCCACACCAUGUUCCAACUAAUGUCCCUGCAUCCCCAAUGACCCCCACAACGAAGGAACUAUCACACAGCCGAUGACAGAGAUUGAAGCUGGCGUGUCCCUGAUUUGUCCAUUAUGAUGAGCAAAUUACGUUCCUACAUGUCUACUGGCUGUUCUGUCAAAUAUCGUGUGAGGCAUUUAUAGACCACACUCUGUUUCCAGCCAGAUAGACACCGGAAAUAGUGCAUUUAUUUAGAUAAAGCUGAAUAUUCUGCCCAUCAAAUUGUGACCAUUGAGCCACUUAAACAGGAUGCCAGCAAUAGCGUUCCUAAACCAUCUGAAUGUAUUUGCUUUUUUAAAACCAUUUAACCCUCGUGUUGUGAAUAGCUAACCGUAAUCACAGUUAUUAGCUCAAUCCAAUCUAAUCCACGCCAAUGACGGUCGCUAGUGCUUAAAAAUAGCUUAAAACCACUUGAAUAAAACAUGGACAAAUUAGAUAAAUCACCAUGGAACAAUACAAAUGGCAGCAUUUUAUCUAUUUUGGCUAUGGAGCACAUACAGUACUAAAACAUUUAAUUUGUUGAUUAUAAUACCAAUGUUCUGUCAUCUUAAAAACAGAUCAGGAAAAUACAUCCCAAUAUAUUCUGCAAGCUCUAGAAACAAACCAACACCUUAAGCUACCACAUCCCCUGACAACAUCUCUGCACCCACAUACCAUAAAUGUAUCUGAAAGCUGUCUCGCACAAUAACGUGUUACAUUCGCAGGGGGCGGCCUUGGCCUACAUCUCAAACGUACACUUUUGUAGAAGAUGUUGAAGGCACAAUAUCGAGAUGGAAAAUGUUGUAUACUGUGUGUCUGGUCAGUACUUGUGUACAGUUGUGGUCAGAAGUUUGCAUACACUCAUUGGCAGGACUGUCACAUCAAUGUUGGGCACUUAAGCAAUCUUUUUGCAAAUUAUAAUUGUUUUAAAACAUACAUUUUUAAAUGUGUUUUUUAACACAACAAUUUGAUACACAGGUUUGAAUUUAUUUUUGCCAUUUUCUAUUUAUAGAACAAUAUACAUACAGGUGGUCCUCUGGUUUCAACAAGUUCCAUUUCUAGACUGUGAUGUAAGUCAUUUUUUUGUGUAAUUCUGAACAUAUACCUAAAUAGAUAAACACCUUUUAAGAAUUAAAUUAAACAGUGAUAAAAAGAGAAAAACUACCUACUUUUGUGUGGGUGUUAGACCGGGUUGAAGGAGCAGCAGCUUCUCAAGUUCAUUACCUUUUCUGACUGUAAAUAUUUACUAUACCAAUACUCUGAUAAUGUGUUACAUACAUUUAGUCAUGCAUUUGGCAGAUACUUUACUUCCCUGAAGAAAAGGUGAAAAUAUAAGUCGUUGAAUUAAUUCAGUAGGCCAUAAAAGGCUAUUUUUAGUUUUCUUUGUUGUGGUUUUUAUUAUGGUGAACUGACAAGAUAAGUAGGUUAUAUAUUUUCUUUUAACUGAAUGUUCUUUCCAAUAAUUGCAUCAGUCUGGGAGUUGUGUAGGGUUAAAAUGGCAG